CCUACGGGAGGCUGCAGUGGGGAAUAUUCCACAAUGGGGGAAACUCUGAUGCAGCGACGCCGCGUGAGCGAAGAAGUAUCUCGGUACGUAAAGCUCUAUCAGCAGGGAAGAAAAUGACGGUACCUGACUAAGAAGCCCCGGCUAACUACGUGCCAGCAGCCGCGGUAAUACGUAGGGGGCAAGCGUUAGCCGGAUUUAAUGGGUGUAAAGGGAGCGCAGGCGGCGCGGUAAGUCUGAUGUGAAAGCCCGGGGCUCAACCCCGGGACUGCAUUGGAAACUGUCGUGCUGGAGUGUAGAAGGGGAGAGUGGAAUUCCAAGUGUAGCGGUGAAAUGCGUAGAUAUUAGGAGGAACACCAGUGGCGAAGGCGGCUUUCUGGUCGACAACUGACGCUGAGGCUCGAAAGCGUGGGGAGCAAACAGGAUUAGAUACCCGUGUAGUC
rnacentral:rRNA from 1 species